GUGACACUGACCCAUUAAGGGUCAGGAGGCAAGGACAGUGGGUCCACGUUGAAACCGAAUGGUCGGAGGGGCAGCUGGGAGAACAGGUGAGGAGUGUGGGGAGGCACUGGCCUGGGGGGAGCCUGGCUGGUCUCUGGUUCUCCUCCCUUUCGGAUGUGGGCACAUCACCGGGACGCAGCCGUCAGCUUAGUGGGGGAGCAAAUUCCAAUGUGCGGGACCACCCAGCGUCGGCACAGGACCAUUCCAAAGGUGGUAACACUCAGUCUGAGGCUAAAGGUCCCUCCAAAAGCAGUGUUCUUGGUGGGUGGGCAGGCAGGAGGUGGGGUCGGGCAGGACACCCCUGCUGGAAGCUCUGGACCCAGCUAGGGAGGAGCAGAAAGUAGCCAGGGAGUGAGGGCAGAUGCUGACUGGGGUGAAGACAUGCCUGUCUCCACAGGGCGCCUCACCCCACCCCCACCACUCAGCCCCUUCCUCUUUCCUGGGGGAGGCACCCACUGACUUGGAGCUUGAGGUAGCAGGUCAUUUUCCCUGCUAGUGACAGGGAAAUCUACGUCAAAGAAUCUGGAAAGAUCACUCGUUCAUUUGAAAAGAUUUUGCCACUUUUAACCUUACUUUGUUUUUCCUACGAUUUUCAGUUAAGAAUCGUUAGGAGAAAAUUUUUAAUCUUACUGGGAACUGCACAUUUGUAGCCCUUAGGGGGUGUCACACAACUAUAUCCCCAUCUUUUUUGUGACAAUAAAGCAGACCCGUUGGCCAAGAGUUUGAUUUUACCCUAAGGCAUAUUCACAGUACUUUAAUUUUUUUUUUUUUUUUACUGAUUUUGUAUUCUGUGCACUAAAUUCUGAGUUGCAAAACAUGAAGUAUGCCCCUACCAAAUUAUGAUUUAAUUCCAAUGUCUCUUCAUGUGGCUUUUAUUUCUUCAGCAAAGUUUGGUUAUAGUCAGCAGCUUUGAAAUAGUCAAAUACAUUGCAUUUGCUUCUCUCUUGUGGUUUCUUCCUGGGGAGGGCCUGGUGAGGAAGGGGAUGAUAAAGGAAAUUGAUGGACUGCAUCAUGGGAUCUGUUGCCAGAAGUAAAUAAUAGCAGGGGUUAGGCAACACCUGGGAACCACCCCAGGGAUUCUCCUGCAGGUAAAGAGGGAUGGCAGGUAAGGGGCCCCAGGGGGCACAGGCACCACCUGAGCUUUUCAAGUCUGCUGCUGGUCCCCAGGCAGGAAAGGGGCCUCUUCUAGCUCCCUUUCCAUCUUCUGAAUGUGGGGGGCUGGUGGUAGCAUAGAUACCCCCACCAUCAGCAGCCACACUGGGCAGCCUACAGCUUCUUCCGCUGCUGCCAUCACCACUGCCCUCUCCUCAUCGCCCUCCUCGGAAGGUUCAGGAAUCAGAAGCAUGCAGCUGGGGUGACCAUCCACUGUCAGAAGGUAGGUUCUCAUGAGCAAAGUGAGAGAUGGAAGGGAAAGUGCCCAUGAGUGGAGCUGGGAUGCCUGCGGGCAUCAACAAAGCAAACUGACUUGGGUGGUAAGCCCCUAGGAAGCCAGAGAGUGGGGACUGUUUUCAUUAAUAUGGAAAAUCUUUAUGUAAUGAGGUGUUGGAUGCUGCUUUCCAGGGUACUUUUUAUACUUCACAGGAAAAUAAAAAGAUUUUGACAAGAGUGUGCUUUCAACCUAAAAUAAGAAUCAAAAAACUUUACAGCACAUCUUGGCAAAGUUUUAAGUUCUUCUGUGAGCCAAAAAUAAUAUUCAAACAUCCUUUUAAAGUUUUAAUGAUGUCAAAUCUUUGCUUGCCAAACCUUUUAGUAAGUGCUGGAUUUAUUUACCUUUGCUUCAUUGCUGGUUGACCUCUGAUGUGAUCAUUUUCUACAAUCAGUGACAUUCCUCCCUCAUCAACUUCCAACUUUCGUUUCUUCAUCUCUGACUCCUCCCUCUGCAAGCAUCUUCCCUUCUCUUUCUUCCCCUCUUUCCCUUUCUCCCACCCCACCUCUUCUCCACCUCCCUUUGGUGAGCCCUGGAGUUACUCUCUGACUGUCCUCUCUGGAUGCAGAGGGGUCAGUCUGUGGUCUUACUUCCUGGCAUCCAGGUUCUCAAGCCUCACCACCCAAAAGGACCCUUACCUUUCAAUUGAAAUGGGAGUGGGAGAUGUGAUCUUUGUAUCAAAGACAGUGUGAAGCCAGAGACACUCCAGAGGAAAGAGGUGAAACUUCAACCAAGAGAUUACCCUUUUGGCACCAAGACCUGGCCCUACCUAACAGCCUGUAGGCUACAGUGCUGGGAUGCCUCAGGCCAGCCAACCAAUAAGGUGGAAACACAGCCUCAGCUAGCAGGGGACAGGCAUCCUCAGGUCUCCCUGAGCCCCCUCCAAACAUACCCCUUAACACUGCCUGCCCACCGGAGGGGCAACACCCACUCUAUUCUGCCCACUCCACUGGGAAGACAUCAAUCCCUCUUACCAGGAAAGCCUACACAAGCCCCUGGACAGCUUCAACUGCCAGAGGUCAGACACCAGAAGCAAAAGGAACUAAUCCUGCAGCCUGAGGAAUGGAGACUAUAAACACAGAAAGGUAGACAAAAUGAGAUGGCAGAGAAACCCUAGAACAACAACUAGGCAGUCGACCUGAAAAAGAAUUCAGAGUAAUGAGAGUAAACAAUGAUCCAAAAUCUCAGAGAAAGAAUGGAGGCACAGACCAAGAAGAUACAAGAAAUAUUUAACAAAGAGCUAGAAUAGUAAAGAACAGAGUUGAAAAAUACAAUAACUGAAAUGAGAAAUACACUAGAAGGAAUCAAUAGCAGAACAAAUGAGGCAGAAGAACAGAUGAGUGAGCUGGAAAGCAGAAUGGUGGAAUACCAUGGAAAAGAAUAAAGAAAAGAGAAUGAAAAGAAAUGAGGACAGUCUAAGAAACCUCUGGGACAUUACAUGCACCAAUAACCACAUUAUAGGGGUCCCAAAAGGAAUGGGCCUGGGGAAACAAUGGAAGAGAUAAUAGCCAAAAACUUCCCUGCACAGGAAAGGAAACAUUCAAGUCCAGGAAGUGCAGAGAAUCCCAUGUAGGAUAAACCUGAGAAGGAACAUGCUGAGACACACAAUAAUCAAAUUGACAAAAAUUAAAGGCAAGGAGAAAAUAUUAAAAGCAACAAGGGAAAAGCAACGACAUACAAGAGAAUCUUAAUAAGGUUAUCAGCUGAUUUUACAGCAAAACUCUACAGGCUAGAAGGGAGUGGCAUGAUAUAUUUAAACUGAUGAAAGGAAACAACCUACAACCAAGAAUACCCAGCAAGGCUUUCAUUCAGGUUCAACAAAAAAAAUCAGAAGCUUUACAGACAAGCACAAACAAUUGAGCACAUCAGCAAACCAGCUUGACAACAAAUGCUAAAGGAACUUCUCUAGGUGGAGAAGAAAAGGCAACUAUAAAUAGGAAAAUUGUGAAUAGGAAAACUCACUGGUAAAGGCACACAUAUACAGUAAAAGUAGGAAAACAUCCACACAAAAAUAUCAAAACAAGCAAUCAUGAGGAGAAUACAAAUGCAGAGUAUCAGAAAGGCAUUUGAAAUUAAGAGACUAGAAAUUUAAAACAAUCAUGUACAUAUACAGACUGCCAUAUCAAAAUCUCACCAUAACUGCAAACCAAACAUCUACAAUAUGUACACAUAAAAAGAAAAAUCCAAACACAACACUAAAGAUAGUCAUGAAAUCAU
rnacentral:lncRNA from 1 species